rnacentral:rRNA from 1 species
UACGUAGGGUGCGAGCGUUGUCCGGAAUUAUUGGGCGUAAAGAGCUUGUAGGCGGUUUGUCGCGUCUGCUGUGAAAAUCCGGGGCUCAACCCCGGACUUGCAGUGGGUACGGGCAGACUAGAGUGUGGUAGGGGAGACUGGAAUUCCUGGUGUAGCGGUGAAAUGCGCAGAGUAUCAGGAGGAACACCGAUGGCGAAGGCAGGUCUGCUGGGCCACUACUGACGCUGAGAAAGCGGAAAGCAUGGGGAGCGAACAGG